AGCCUCCGCUGAGCAGUCAGCGGUCGGCCCCCAGCUCCCCUCCAACCCUGCCACGCGGGCGUCCCGGGUCUCCCGGGCCACGAGCGCAGUUGCCCCCAGCCGCCUCCCCGUGCCCACGGCCAUCCCCAAGCCCAGCGGCUCAGCUCUGCUCGCUAACAGGGGAGCGCCGACCGGGAGGGGCAGCGGGCCCGCCGUCUGCCCGCCCCUUCGGAAGGGACUGCUGAGGCCCGGCACAGCCGGGCACAGAGUUCCUGCUCCCCAGCGGCCCGUCAGCUGUAGCCACUUGCAGGCCCCCAAGAAGGUGGUGAUCCCGGCGCCCAGGUAAAGAGGCUGGAACUGAGGCCCCCGAGUCACUCCAGCAUCACUCCGGCUGUGUCCUCCCUCCCCACCGCCAUUCCCUCUCCACCGUGGAGCUGCACCUCCAAGCCACCCUCCGAGCCCAGCCCAGUGCCCCAGGGAGGAGCCGCUGGUCAGCGAGGGAACGGCUACGCAGCAGGGAGGGAGGGGAUGGGAGGGGGGGAAGAGGGUGGAAAUUUUCUGGGUCCAAAUGAAGCGGCAGGUGGGGAAGUGAAGGCGAAUGGUCUAAAGCCUUUUCUGGAAUCGAGCCGCCCCGACCUCCCGGGCCCAGACUGGACCCUGUCACCCCCAACAGCCCAACAGGGACCAUUUGGGUCUCCUGGAACUUGGGGCUGAGGGAGGUGUUUUAAUGUGAUUUCUUUCCAUUGGUGCUUCCCCACCUCCGGGGCAACCCAGGAGCCGGGGAUGGGUGUCGUCCACAAGGCCUACACCCCAAACUGGCACAGACCCUCGCAAGACGGUGCCCUCCCCAGGACACUUUGCCCAGCUAAGUGCCUGACCGUGCCUGCCCUGGGACUCUUCUCAUUCUGUGACAGGCCUCCAGCCUUAAUAAAGGGCAGUGAUCCUGCUGGG